rnacentral:rRNA from 1 species
UGUGGCGGGGGAUUCAGUCGGGAGGUGCGGAGGCGCCGGCGGGUCUGUUCUGACGGACCCCUCUCGCGGGGCCGGGCCCUCGGCGCGGUCUCCGCUUCACCCGACGCAUUUCCUCCCGCACCGAGGACGUCGCAGCAGCUAUCCGACCGCGGGAGUUGCGAACCGCGGGAGCUGGAAGUUAGCUGGUGGGGAUGUUCUCGGGUCCUUCCGCCGGUUGUUGGCCGGUCAGCCCGUGGCGCGACACCCGACCGAGGUCGAUCGGUUCCCCUCUUGGGAACUCGCCGUCCCCUUCCCUGUUUUGGGCAGCUGGCGCCUUCGGCAGGCGGUCCGCGGGCCGCCGCUGGCCAGAAGCGUCCUGUGGCGGCGCACGCGGCUUGCGGCGAGCGGGUCGGUCAUCCACCCGACCCGUCUUGAAACACGGACCAAGGAGCCUAACAUGUGCGCGAGUCAAGGGGUCUUGAUCAGGCGCAGGGGCGCAAUGAAAGUGAAGGCCGGCCCCCGAGCCGACCGCAUUUUGAUUUCCCGCCCCCUUCGUGGUGCGGGGAGGCACCAACGGCCCGUCCUGUCCGAUUUAUCGGUCAGACGAAGUCCGAGUGCACACGUUGGGACCCGAAAGAUUGUGAACUAUGCCUGGGCAGGACGAAGCCAGAGGAAACUCUGGUGGAGGUCCGUAGCGGUUCUAACGUGAAAAAUCGAUCGUCAGACUCGGAUAUAGUCGAAAGACUAA